UACGAAGGGGGGCUAGCGUUGCUCGGAAUCACUGGGCGUAAAGCGCACGUAGGCGGACUCUUAAGUCGGUGGUGAAAUCCUGGAGCUCAACUCCAGAACUGCCUUUGAUACUGGCAAUCUAGAGUCCGGAAGAGGUGAGUGGAACUCCUAGUGUAGAGGUGGAAUUCGUAGAUAUUAGGAAGAACACCAGUGGCGAAGGCGGCUCACUGGUCCGGUACUGACGCUGAGGUGGCGAAAGCGUGGGGAGCAAACAGGAU
rnacentral:rRNA from 1 species